AUGUAUGUCUUUUCAAAAGAAAUCUAUGACAUUUUGAAAGAAAACUAUGACAUUUUUUUACUAAGAUGCAAUCAGGGACACAACUUACCCUGGCCCUUUAGGACCUUCUUGCAAACUAUGGGGGACUCUCUGAUACAGAGCAAAGAGGAUAGUUGCUGGGAUGUGAUGAAGGCUGUGAAAGGAAAAAAUAAAUUAACAUCCAGUGGGCUUCUCCUCCUACUGUGCAUACAGGAAGUCUUAAGGAGACCACAGGACACUAUCAGUACUGCCUCCCAACACAUUCUGGAUCCCAAGAACCCUUCCUAUUCCUCUACAGCCUCUAAUAACUUCACUUAAAAUAAAACUCCUAGUUUGGUGUUUCUUGUGUGAAAU
rnacentral:lncRNA from 1 species